AUCACCACAGUUUGAUCCUGCUGCAGCUCCGUGUAAAAUUGCUGAAAAUUAAGAAAAUAUUGUGAAAAAAGGUGGUUACCAAGUGAAAAUCAUUGUGCAACAUGAUCACGAGUAAGGACUUGGGAUUUCAUAAAACCACAAUUCCACAGCAUUACCCUGCAUUAUCCUGGCCGUUUAUCGUAAAUUCUUGGAAUUCUUGGUAACAGGUACAAAUUCGAAUUUUCUUGGUAUUUUUUGUAACCCGGGCGCGCUCGUUUUUGUAUUUGUUUCUUGCUUUUUACAUUUUCAAACAUCCUCUUCACCA